GAUGAACGCUGACAGAAUGCUUAACACAUGCAAGUCGAUUCGAUUUACCUUCGGGUAUUGAGGAUGGCGGACGGGUGAGUAACGCGUAAGGAACUUGCCUCUUGGUCUGGGACAACUGUUGGAAACGACAGCUAAUACCGGAUAUUAUGAGAUUCUCGCAUGGGAAACUUAUGAAAGCUAUAUGCGCCAAGAGAGAGCCUUGCGUUCCAUUAGCUAGUUGGUGGGGUAACGGCCCACCAAGGCGACGAUGGAUAGCCGGCCUGAGAGGGUGAACGGCCACAAGGGGACUGAGACACGGCCCUUACUCCUACGGGAGGCAGCAGUGGGGAAUAUUGGNNNNNGGGNNNNAAGCCUGAUCCAGCAAUUCUGUGUGCACGAUGAAGGUCUUCGGAUUGUAAAGUGCUUUCAGUUGGGAAGAAGAAAGUGACGGUACCAACAGAAGAAGCGACGGCUAAAUACGUGCCAGCAGCCGCGGUAAUACGUAUGUCGCAAGCGUUAUCCGGAUUUAUUGGGCGUAAAGCGCGUCUAGGCGGAAAAAUAANUCUGAUGUUAAAANGCGGGGCUCAACUCCGUAUUGCGUUGGAAACUGUUUUUCUAGAGUACUGNAGAGGUGG
rnacentral:rRNA from 1 species